UACGUAGGGGGCGAGCGUUGUCCGGAGUUACUGGGCGUAAAGCGCUUGUAGGCGGUCCACCAAGUUUGGGGUGACAGUUGCCGACUUAAUCGGCAAAGUGCCUCAAAGACUGGCGGACUUGAGGGCCACAGAGGGACAUGGAACUCCAGGUGUAGUGGUGAAAUGCGUAGAUAUCUGGAAGAACACCAGUGGCGAAGGCGGCUCGCUGGGCUCUACCUGACGCUGAGGCGCGAAAGCGUGGGGAGCGAACCGG
rnacentral:rRNA from 1 species